UGGCUCAGGAUGAACGCUAGCGACAGGCUUAACACAUGCAAGUCGAGGGGCAGCAUAGAAGUAGCAAUACUUGGUGGCGACCGGCGCACGGGUGAGUAACGCGUAUGCAACCUACCUAUCAGAGGGGAAUAACCCGGCGAAAGUCGGGCUAAUACCGCAUAAAACAGGGGCACCGCAUGGUGAUAUUUGUUAAAGAAAUUCGCUGAUAGAUGGGCAUGCGUUCCAUUAGGUAGUUGGUGAGGUAACGGCUCACCAAGCCGACGAUGGAUAGGGGAACUGAGAGGUUGGUCCCCCACACUGGUACUGAGACACGGACCAGACUCCUACGGGAGGCAGCAGUGAGGAAUAUUGGUCAAUGGGCGGGAGCCUGAACCAGCCAAGUCGCCGUGAAGGAAGAAGGAUCUAUGGUUCGUAAACUUCUUUUGCAGGGGAAUAAAGUGCAGGACGUGCCCUGUUUUGUAUGUACCCUGAGAAUAAGGAUCGGCUAACUCCGUGCCAGCCGCCGC
rnacentral:rRNA from 1 species